UAUGCUUAGACAUUCAUCAAGAGAAAAGCUAAAUUGACUGAAAUCUUUGUUCAUGUGUCUUAGCUCUUGGGUGUUGUGCCUCACUCCGUAAGUCAAUUAAGGAGGGGAGGUGUACUAGCUAGCAAUACACUGUUUUGCAUCAGUAUGCCAGUGGGAUGCUGGUGGAGCAAUAAUAAAUAGCAUAGUCGUUACGAGAAUAACACAUUGUUCUCAAUGUUUGGUAGUCUUUCAUAAUGGCAUCUAUUUAUAGAGACUUGGUUUGGUGCUUUAUGAGCUCCCUUUUUUCAUAAAUGGCUCUUCUUUGUUCAGUUUAUCAGGCUGGAUGGCUUACAACCUUAGGAAGAAGAUAGAGAAAGAGCUUUAGAAUAAAGCUGCUUUCAGUAACCAUCCUGUUCUAUGUUAAGUCUGUAGUCUUUGCAGAUGUGAGUUUGACAUUGGAGACCUCUUCAUUAAUAAUCUGAGCUUCCUUAGGUAAUGCUUCAUGUUGCUGACUUAACCACUUUCUAGUUGUAUCUUAGCCCAGGUACAAUAUUUGCUUUUGGUGGGGGAUUAAUUCUUGAAAUCCUGGAUGGGACGCAAUGAGGGACGUGCUUUCAAAUCCCCUACAAAUUGUCUUCCUUGUUUGAGAAGAGGUUAGUGAUUCUCUCUGGUAGAUGUGAAGAAGAAUAGGACACAGCUGUGUGGAAAAUCCAUCUUUCUCCAGUAGUUAGGAGUUCACGUCUUUGUCCUGUGGCAGCUCCUGUGGCAUUUGAAACGCAGCAAGGUAUUUGAUUUUAUUUGCUGGUUUGUUUAUUUGGGUCUACAGCGUGAAUAGGGUGUCUUUCAGCAGAAAAUACUAUUCUGGAGUUGGAAAACUUACCUGUACUUGAUAGAAAUUCUUAAAUGUGUGUUAAGUCUGUCCUUAAUUCUUAAACCUUACUUUUCUUCUUUCCCCUAGCUUUCCAAGAAGGGAAAUGUUUUCUUUUCUACAGUUUGUUGCAUGUAAAUAAGACCUAGAAAUUAUUUCUACUUUUGAAACAGUUUUUAAAUGGGAAAACAAGAAGAAAAAUAGUAUGGAAGCAGACUGGAAGGACAGUCACACACUGUCAGACCAACAGUCUCUAACACAGUAUGGUAAUUCACACAGGUCCAAUGGGCAGAAUCGUACGAACAGGGCACGUGUAGCAUCGUCCUUUCCUGAUGCUGCUCCUCAGCUUCAGAGUCAGGGGGUUAAGGUUGCACAUGGGUUGUCCUGUCCACUAUCUGCCAAAAGCCUUUUUUUUGCCUGUGAACACAUCUAACUCUGUGAAUCCAUUCAUGUUGGUGAUUUCCCUUUCCCUGAAGAAUUGUAUUCCACCUGUUUUUUUCCUUGGAUACAAGCUGUAUCAUACCCCUGGAUAUAAUUGUUACCUUUCUGGACCCAUAGCUGGACUGUUACAUUCCUGAAGACUGUUCUGAUUUGAGUUCAGUGUUACCCUGCCAGUAACCAGUUGCAUUUAGUUCUGAUUUAGUAAAAUGCAGCAGGAUGAGUGAGUUAAGUUCUUGUUUUGAGUUUAGUUUGACUGCUUAUUAAUACAUGCCACCUUUUAAGUCUUAGACUGAAAAUUCUGUAUCCAAGAUGUGGGUAUGUAAGGAGCUCUGAAACGGUAUAGAUGGCAUUCUCUUGUGUUCUUGAUUUAUUUCCUAAUAACUAUUCUCCUUAUAUCAAGACACACUCUUGACGUGAUACCAAGUGUAACUGCACAUGUCAGACUAUAGUUGUAUAUUCCUUGAGUGCAAUACUUUUCAGUUACCAUUAUAGAAUAUACAGGAUUUCAUCACCUAUUCCAUCUGCAUCAUGAAGGGCUCUUCCAGCUUAACAUAGCUUAAUUUUGGGGAAUCCAGAACAGCUUUGUGUCUGUGGGCAGACUUUUCACCCCUUAUCUAGGAUUUUUUCCAUUCAUUCAAGGGUAUGCUGUCCCAGGACAGAUGACAUUGCACUGUUGAAUACUUGUAGUGGUAAAAAACCACCAAAACAAAGCCAAACAACCACUCCCCCACACACCUUAAAGCAGCCAAAACCCUUAAGCACUGAUAUUUGUUAUUUCCUGUAUUUUAUCUGAUUGUUAACAAGUGAAAUGUCCUUCCUUCUUAUGACCACUUAGAGGCUCUGAUGACAAAUCUUGAGGAAACUUUUGAAAAUCAAAGUACCUUGUGUUGAUCAGAUUACCUUUAUUACCUUUAGAUUUCUUCACAAACUUACUCACUACAAAACUCUCUGCAAAGGCCAAGCUAUCCCUUCCCCUCCAGGUUUUUCUAUUAGUCUGUUAAUUUUUAAAUACAAAUUAGAAGGAGUUUUUGGUCUUUUGUAGUAUUUCCGAAGAGCUGUUUUUAAAUAGUUGUUACAGGGUUUAUUUAAUGAGGAACUGCUAGAAUAAGAAGAAAUCAACCUUCUGUGCUGUGCGUGAGUACCUAUUGAGAGGAGUCUUUGGUAAACUAUGCAUGGGAGCAUAGAGUGCUUUACCCACUAAGUAUAAUUCAGCUUUUGUCUCAUCCACCUGUUUUCUUCUGACAUCUUUCCCAGGGCAUUUUGGGGCAGCAAAUCUUCAUUCACCCACAGUCACAUACCCAUCUUUGAUCAUGAGCUGCCCCAAGUCUCAAAAGACAAAUGGGAAGAAUGCUGGUUCUCAAAAACAAGUUAUCUUCAGAAAAAGCACCCGUGACAAAGCUCUGACUAUCUACCUGGGAAAGCGGGACUUUGUUGACAACAUAGGGAGUGUGGAGCCUGUAGAUGGUGUUGUGUUGGUGGAUCCUACACUUCUCAAGGAGAAAAAAGUGUAUGUGUCCCUGACUUGUGCUUUCCGGUAUGGCCGGGAAGACAUUGAUGUGAUUGGCCUCACUUUCCGACGGGACCUAUACUUCUCUAGGGUCCAAGUGUACCCACCUGCUGACAAGCCAGAGACUCUUUCCCACUUGCAGGAAUCUCUGCUAAAGAAGCUGGGGAAAAAUGCUUAUCCCUUUUUCUUUACAUUUCCAGAUUACCUGCCUUGUUCAGUCUGUCUGCAGCCUGCACCUCAUGAUGUUGAUAAGACCUGUGGGGUGGACUUUGAGGUGAAAGCUUUCUCAACAGAGAAUCUGGAAGAGAGAAUUCAUAAGAGGAACUCUGCACGUCUGCUGAUCCGUAAGGUGCAAUAUGCUCCAGAACAGCCAGGACCUCAACCUUGUGCAGAGACCACCUGGCAGUUCUUCAUGUCCAAAAAGCCAUUGCACUUGAAAGCUUGUCUCAGUAAAGAGGUGUAUUACCAUGGCGAGCCCAUUCCAGUCACUGUCAUGAUCAAUAACAGCACAGAGAAAACAGUGAAGAAGAUCCAAGUCCAGGUGGAGCAGGUUGCCAAUGUGGUUUUGUACUCCAGUGAUUUCUAUACAAAAGUGGUAGCUUCUGAGGAAGCACAAGAAAAGGUGCAGCCAAACAGCAGUCUGACCAAGACACUGACACUUCUGCCAUUGCUAGCAAAUAACCGGGAGACACGGGAAAUAGCUCUGGAUGGAAGGCUAAAGGAUGAGGAUACCAAUUUGGCUUCUAGUACUAUUAUUAAGGAUGGAAUAGACAGGACAGUGAUGGGGAUUCUGGUUUCCUACAAGGUUAAAGUGAAGCUCACUGUUCCAGGGUAAGAGUAUCAAACUUUUUGCUUCUGCAUAGAUUUAAGAGGGGAGUGUGUGUACUUCAUUGACAAGUGGGGAGAGGGCAGGACAGUGUACCCCAAGAGAAAGGGCACAGCUAUAGGACAUGAGGAUCCUCUAAAGCAGAAAUUUACCAGUACUCAAUUUUGGCCUAUCCAAAGGACUUGUCUUGAGCAAGAGGGGUUGGAUUAACUUCCUUAGAUACCAGAUGACUUUUCAGCUGAAGUACAAAUCUCUCAUUUGCAGUUCAUGUGAGGCUUUAUGUUGUCAUUAUUACUCUUCCAGAGCAGAGGUAGAGACAUCUGCCUGCAAGUCCUAAAUACUGUGAGUCAUAGAUACCAGUGUUCUGUACUGACCCAGCUUUCUGGGAGAAGCUCAUGUUACUAGCACGAAAUAGUUCCCAGCAUAGAGUGCCAAAGAAGACCAGGACAACAACUCUGUGAUGCUUGUCACUGUUUACAUUUGUAUUUCAUUCAUCUGUCCUUCUUUCUGGUAUAAAAAUGAGGCAAUGACUUGCCUAAAACAUGAUAAAAUGACUGCCUCCUGUAGUCCUGCAAUUGCUUUUGCCCUCUGGCUGUCAGAAAAGGAGCCGUGCCCAAAACUUGGUCAGGAGUUCAAAACUUAGACGUUCUUCAUGGGAAGGACAUGAAAAGUUAAAGUUACAUUUUUUAAGAACAAGUUUAUUUGCAUGUUGUGCUUUGCAGCAUGUAGAGAAGAGUAUAUGAGGAAGGUGAUUUUAAUAGUCUACCAAUAAAACAUUUGGUAGAGCACCAGAAUGGAAAGGUACUAAAUAUGCUUCUGUUUUUCUCCUUGUUUUCUUCUGUAGCAUGCUGGGAGACCUCACCUCCAGUGAAGUGGGCACAGAGCUGCCGUUUCGUCUCAUGCACUACAAGCCUGAUGAAAAGAACCCAGCAGUGAAGCAGAGCUGGUAUUUGAGGAAUUUGCUCGUCAAGGCAUAAAAGAUAUGGCUGAUGAUGAAGACAAGAAUAUGUCCUCAGCUGAUGAGUGACUAAAAGAACAAGCUGCCAGAGAAGAUACGUAGUCUGGCAUCAAUUAGAAAUGUUAGGACCUAGGUUUCUAGUAAACUGCAUGUUCUCAGUGCAUGCAUGGUCUUCCAGGGAUCAGCCCUGAGGUCAGUGGACAUAAAAUUAUCUCUAUUGCUUAUUAAAAGUUUCACCUUUAGAGGAA